UACGGAGGGGGCGAGCGUUAUUCGGAAUUACUGGGCGUAAAGCGCACGUAGGCGGGUCUGUAAGUAGGGGGUGAAAUCCCAGGGCUCAACCCUGGAACUGCCUUCUAGACUGCAGGCCUGGAGGUCAGGAGAGGCGAGUGGAAUACCGAGUGUAGAGGUGAAAUUCGUAGAUAUUCGGUGGAACACCAGUGGCGAAGGCGACUCGCUGGACUGAUACUGACGCUGAGGUGCGAAAGCGUGGGGAGCAAACAGG
rnacentral:rRNA from 1 species